rnacentral:misc_RNA from 1 species
GAUGAAGAACGCAGCGAAAUGCGAUACGUAAUGUGAAUUGCAGAAUUCAGUGAAUCAUCGAAUCUUUGAACGCAUAUUGCGCUCUCUGGUAUUCCGGAGAGCAUGCUUGUUUGAGUAUCAGUAAACACCUCAACUUCCAUAUCUUUUUUGAAAUGGGAGUUGGACUUGAGUGAUCCCAACGCUUUUCCUCACCGCAAAGUGGCGGGUUACUUGAAAUGCAGGUGCAGCUGGACUUUUCUCUGAGCUAUAAGCAUAUCUAUUUAGUCUGCCUAAAAAACAGAUUAUUACCUUUGCUGCAGCUAACAUAAAGGAGAUUAGUUCUUGUGCUGACUGAUGCAGGAUUCACAAAGACAGGCUUCGGCCGACUUUGUAAACUCGAUCUCAAAUCAAGUAAGACUACCCGCUGAACUUAAGCAUAUCAAUAAGCGGAGGA